rnacentral:rRNA from 1 species
GUCUUAUUGAUAAUAAUUUUAAGUCUAAUCUGCCCAAUGAUAAUUUAAAUGGCUGCAGUAUUUUAACUGUACAAAGGUAGCAUAAUAAUUAGUCUCUUAAUUAGGGACUAGAAUGAAUGAUUGAACGAGAUAAUAACUGUCUCUUAUUAAAUUAUAGAAUUUUAUUUUUAAGUUAAAAAGCUUAAAUAAUUUUAAAAGACGAGAAGACCCUAUAGAGUUUUAUAUUUAAUUUAUUAUAAAAUUUAGUUUAAAAUAUUUAUUUUUUAAAAUAAAUAUUUAAUUGGGGUGAUUAAAAAAUUUAAUUAACUUUUUUUAAAAAUUAUCAUAAAUUAAUGAAUUUUUGAUCCAAUAUUUUUGAUUAUAAGAUUAAAUUACCUUAGGGAUAACAGCGUAAUUUUUUUUAAGAGUUCUUAUCGAAAAAAAAGAUUGCGACCUCGAUGUUGGAUUAAAAUUAAUUUUUGGCGUAGAAGUUAAAAAAUUAGGUCUGUUCGACCUUUAAAAUUUUACAUGAUCUGAGUUUAAAUCGGCGUGAGCCAGGUUGGUUUCUAUCUUUAAAAAAUUAUUAUAUUUUAGUACGAAAGGACCAAAUAUUUAUAAAAUUUAUUUUAUAUUGAUUUA